AAAACGACUCUCGGCAACGGAUAUCUCGGCUCUCGCAUCGAUGAAGAACGUAGCGAAAUGCGAUACUUGGUGUGAAUUGCAGAAUCCCGUGAACCAUCGAGUCUUUGAUCGCAAGUUGCGCCCGAAGCCUUUAGGCCGAGGGCACGCCUGCCUGGGCGUCACA
rnacentral:rRNA from 1 species